GACUCGGAGAGCGGCGCACAAGCGCCGGGAGGGGGCAAAUCUAUAUUUAUAGAAAGCGGGAAGGCGGUGCGGUAACAAGUAGACGCCGAGCCAGCGGGAGCCUCGCGGCGCGCCGAGGGGGAGGGGGUUCCGCUUCCUCCCCAGACGCCCCUGCACCCCCACCCCCGCGCAGACGGCCGCCGGCCCCGGUGCCCCGUGCUCCUCGGCCCAGCCGGGCUUCGCGUCCUCGGGCUCCGCGCUCCUCCACCCCCAGGUGGGACUGACUCUGCGGUUCGCCGAGCAGGACUCCCCGGGAGAUGUGCUGAGCGGUGGCCGGCAGCCCGUGUGCCUGCCCUGGACUCCGCUGACCCGCGCGCCUGGCCACAUGAGUGCAUCUCUCAGCCGAGCCAGUUAUCCCCUGCCCCAGUCAAACUGAGUCUAGUUUUCCAAGAAGGGCCAUUGUACUGUGGAGUCUCAGAGACGGAACACAAAGUAAACAGGACUUACUACCCAGAGGCCCCUUCUCUUCUCAUGAGAAACCACUGUCUGUGUUGAACUCUUAACUGAAACCACAGUCCAGAGUUUCAAGGAGCCAC
ensembl:lncRNA